GCUGUUACUGCAGCCGAGGCGGGGAAGCCGCGGGAAAGCCAGACCAGCUAGCGGUGUCUUUCCUGCAGCCGGCGGCGUAAUCCACCGCCGUGCCCAAGCCGACGGCUCCCUUAACACCAGCGCUUGGGCGCCCCGCUGAUGUCGAGAAAAGGGACAAGUAGAAAUGCCCCAACUGGUUGCAUUGCAGAGUUGAUUCCGGUCCAAAAGCAAAAUACCAAAAUCGUCCAAAGAUUUAGUGGAAGAUAAAGACCCUUUUUGGGGGCAGGGAAAAUCAUGCUUUAAUUGAUAUCCUCCGGAAGUGUUUGACUCCCUAACUCAACUCCCUAACUUGGCAAGCCGAGGACCUGAAGCUCAACGUCUCUGAAAGGUGCCAGCUUGGUGAAGUCGAGAAUGAAAGACGUUUUCAGUCGACUUUGUCUCAAGUCAAUUUAAAAUGGCCGGGUCUCUUGUGCUCCUCUCCCUGAAGGGAGGUUAUCCAUUUAGCAAGCCAUUAAGAGACUUCCAGAAACAUUAAGGCUCAUUCAGUUGCUCCCCAGCCACUCAUUCGUAGUGAUAAUCUGGUGGUGCAACUCGCAACAAUGGAGGAUUUCAACAACAUGGCCCCACUUAAGUCUGGCGAAUGUUUUUCCUACGUGUGGGGAAAUAACUCUCAGCCUGAGGUUCGUAGGGUCUUACUCAUUACAUAUGAAGGACAGAUCAGUCUUUUACAGUAAAUAGUUAUGUGCCUUUAAAAACCUUCUAGAAGCUUGGCGAUUGUUGCCACACAGGAAAGACAUUGCUGGAGUAAUGGAAUGUAAAAGGCUUGGGAUGUUCCAUGAUAGAGAUUUCGAUUAGACAAAACAGACAUGACUUUAGUCUGUGGGUCCUCAAACUAUGGCCUGAGGGCCACAUGCUGCCCACCGAAGCCAUUAAUUCGGCCCACAAAGGACCACGAGGCUGACCCACCCAACCUUCAGCCUCAGGAGGCCAAAAAAUGGGUGAAAAUGACCCGUUUUUGGUCAAAAAACGGGCCAUUUUUGUCCAUUUUUUUCCUGAAGAAUGCUUUUGGAGGCAGGAGGUGAAGAAUGGGGUGCAUAGAUGCCUUGGGAGGCCAGGAAACGGAUGAAAACGACCCAUUUUUGGUCAAAAAAUGGGCCAUUUUUGUCCAUUUUUUGCCUGAAGAAUGCUUUUGGAGGCGGGAGGUGAAGAAUGGGGUGCAUAGAUGCCUCGGGAGGCCAAGAAACGGGUGAAAACGACCCAUUUUUGGUCAAAAAACGGGCCAUUUUUGUCCGGUUUUUGCCUGAAGAAUGCUUUUGGAGGCAGGGGAGGUGAAGAAUGGGGUGCAUAGAUGCCUCGGGAGGCCAAGAAACGGGCAAAAAUGACCCAUUUUUGGCCAAAAGUGGGCCAUGUUCUCCAGGUUUUUGCUUGCAGAAUGCUUCUGGAGGCAGGGGAGGUGAAGAAUGGGGUGCAUAGAUGCCCCAGGAGGCCAAAAAAUGGGCCCAAUUUUCACCUCCCCAACCUCCAGAAGAUAAAUAGAGAGACAGAGAGAGACUUGUUGAUUGUAAGCUCCUUGGGGCUGAGAAGAAUAGCUGCAAUACUGAGUUUCCUGAAAUGGACCACUAAAUUCCUAAACAACUGAAAAAAACGAUCUAGUAGGAAGAGAAGACAACCAAAAGAGCAACAUGCAACAAAA